rnacentral:lncRNA from 1 species
GGUAAAAAAGGUGAAGCAGGAUUGCCAGGAGCUGAUGGUCUUCCAGGACCCCCUGGCCCUCAGGGGCCUCCUGGUCCUCCAGGCAACCCUGGACACACAGGACCUCCAGUAAGUUUACAUUUUUCAACUGUUUUUAUUUGCAAACUGAUCUAGAGCCGCAUCAUAGUAGCAGAUGAUAUUCACACAUCUGUCUGUUCUCACAGGGAUUACCUGGUGAAAGAGGCUUCUCGGGAAAAUCAGGAGAAGCAGGAAAACCAGUGAGACCUCAAGCACAAAUCAUCUGUUGCCCUAUUAACUCAACCCUCAGUUCAGUGUAAAAAAACAAUGAUGCUAAUUCUUUUUCAGGGCCUGCCAGGAAAAGAUGGAUUGGAUGGUUUGCCUGGAAACGACGGCGAGAAGGUUAGAGCUGUUUUAAUGAUUCAAACUGUGAACUUCAUCAUUUAGAAACCCAACUAAAGGCCAGAUCUGGUUUUUGACCUUUUCGUAUGUGUUUUUUUUUUUUUGUUGUACUGCAGUCUGUUUUAUUAAUUUGUGUUUCUGUUUAGGGGCAAAGAGGAGAGCCCGGACAGGACGGCAUCCCUGGCGGACCAGGACCGAAGGUAAAGGGUGGCGUGGGCUACUGAUUUCAGAUUUAGCUUGGAAAUCCCUUUUUUUUUUAUCAAUGUUUCUCUCUUUCAGGGAGAUGAAGGCCCUCCAGGACCACGAGGACCUCCUGGUCAACGGGGUGAGCCCGGUUUGCCUGGAGAGGUCGGCACAGUAGGACCCAAAGGAGAGAGAGGAGGCCAAGGAGAGAGCGGAAAAGAGGGACCUAUUGGCUCGAAAGGAGAGAAAGGAGACAAGGUGAGAGGCAAGAGAAAGCUUAGAAAUAGCAGAUAGUGAUUAUUUUAUCAUGAAAUGUUGGUCAAAAUUUUAAACAGAUAGUAAAAUUAAUAGUUAAAUGUUCUUUUUCAAAUAAAUGCUGUUCUUUUGAUCCAAAAUUAUU